rnacentral:rRNA from 1 species
UUUGAUCCUUUCUCAGGACGAACGCUGGCGGCGUGCCUAAUACAUGCAAGUCGAGCGGACCGAAGGGAGCUUGCUCCUUUAGGUUAGCGGCGGACGGGUGAGUAACACGUGGGCAACCUGCCCUGCAGACUGGGAUAACUUCGGGAAACCGGAGCUAAUACCGGAUAACACCGAAAACCGCAUGGUUUUCGGUUGAAAGGCGGCUUUUAGCUGUCACUGCAGGAUGGGCCCGCGGCGCAUUAGCUAGUUGGUGAGGUAACGGCUCACCAAGGCGACGAUGCGUAGCCGACCCGAGAGGGUGACCGGCCACACUGGGACUGAGACACGGCCCAGACUCCUACGGGAGGCAGCAGUAGGGAAUCUUCCGCAAUGGACGAAAGUCUGACGGAGCAACGCCGCGUGAGCGAAGAAGGUCUUCGGAUCGUAAAGCUCUGUUGUCAGGGAAGAACAAGUGCCGUUCGAACAGGGCGGUACCUUGACGGUACCUGACGAGGAAGCCACGGCUAACUACGUGCCAGCAGCCGCGGUAAUACGUAGGUGGCAAGCGUUGUCCGGAAUUAUUGGGCGUAAAGCGCGCGCAGGCGGUUCCUUAAGUCUGAUGUGAAAUCUCGCGGCUCAACCGCGAGCGGCCAUUGGAAACUGGGGAACUUGAGUGCAGGAGAGGGGAGCGGAAUUCCACGUGUAGCGGUGAAAUGCGUAGAGAUGUGGAGGAACACCAGUGGCGAAGGCGGCUCUCUGGCCUGUAACUGACGCUGAGGCGCGAA